rnacentral:lncRNA from 1 species
UAUAAAGAACGAUACCAAGGCAGCAGAAAAACUACUCCCUCCGUCAUAUCGGUUGUAAUAUCUUAUAAUAUGGGACCGAGGGAGUAGAUACCAAGGGAGCGCUUGUGUCUGACCUCCUUGAUCAUGCUCACGUCAACACGAGUCCUGGGCGUGGCAUUUUCUGAUUGUUACAAGUUCCAACAUAUAAACAUUAACGAAAGAAGAAAGAAAAAAGAAGCAAACAAGGUAGCUGAAUCUGCAGCCGCGGACAAAGUGCAAGCAAAAUGAUGGCGAUCGCCCAGAGCUAACAUGUUGAUCCAUUGGACAUCUCCAAAUAAGUAGUGCUACUCCACUUCAUUAGGACAUCUAUAUAUCAUCAUCUGUUCUCGGCCUGCGAUUGCAUUUGUUCGUGUCCUUCCCGGAAAUCGCAGCCGUGGUUGCAGCUACUACGGCUGCAGCAACCGCGCCGACCUUGAGGCCUCCCGUGAGCUUCAUAGCCCCGGCCAUCUUUGCAAACGCCGCCGCCCCCACCAACUUCGACCUGAAAGCCAUGGUGCGUUCCUGGGGCAGCUGUUUCAGAAAAUGAGCUAAUUCAGCAGCGAUCUCCUGUUGUUACGCAUGUUAUUUCUUCGAGUGCCUGUUUAGAGCAUCGAUGUAGAGUCAGCAGAGAAGAGGCUUAAGAUGUUUAUCAUGUGCAGUGGCCAUUUGUACUCACAAGAUAGCUGAAGAUAUAGACAAUUGACCAAGGAACGGCAGACUGAAAUCAUUUCUAGACUAGAAAAGAUUUGUUUCAGAGUUGUAGUGUUCGGAACUUCGAAUAUCCUGUAUAUAUCACCCCUCUUCACCAGCCUAAGACUUGUGCACAGGAAACAAAAUUCCCGACUACGAACUCUGCUAUGGAUGAGCUCGCAGGGUGAACCUUUCUUUCAAGUGCCAGACUAGAUCCAACAACACAACCAAAUAUCUCAAGACUUGGGUACACAGGAAACAAAAUUCCUGACCACAAACUCUGCUAUGGACGAGCUCGCAGGAUGAACCUCUUUCAAGUGCUAGAGCAGAUCCAACAAAACAACCAAAUACUAUCUAGCUAGCUGCUGGCUGCUAGAGGGAGAGAUUCUUAGGUACGAUCCAUACCUCGACCAGGAAAUCAGGAAGAAAAAGCAGCCGCGGAGCUGCCGGCUGGCUCGAGGGAGAGCGCGAUCAGCUCCCCAGGACGCCUCGCCUUGGACCUCGCAAGGAAGAUGGGGAGGAAUGUUUUGAGUCAACACGGAGAGGGCCCGUGAGAGUAUGAGCUAGUCACAGGGAGGCCUCUCAAGUCUUUUUCUUUUCUUCUCUUGGGAUGGGUGGGGGCCAAGCUUGGGAGAAGCUGUUGAACGAGCGAUCCCUUUGAAUUCUUCAUGCUCAAACAGACCGCAGAUGCAUGCACCUCCCUCUAUUCAUUCUCCCACCUGCUCCUCUCGCCAUCCAUGCGGGGAAGGGCGGACCAUUUUCCAUGGAGAAAGCAUGCGCCCCCAAUCAACGAGCUCCAUCGCAGAACUGCUCCAGCCACAUGCAUCUGCAAAAAAAUACUUCUCGGUAAAACUAUAAAGCAUGGCUAUAAAUUUUCUGUUGAGACGCAAAGUGAGCACUAAAAUUUAAACUACUGAUGGGUGAAGAUGAUCAGGCACACAUGCAACCAUAAACAACUUUAAAAACAAGCUGUAGAAACAAAUACUAGUAUAUUGAAUAUCCCCCUUGUCCCUCCUCUUGGUGAGAGGUCAUUGUGCUUAUCCCCACUUCUAAUAAAAGAAAUCCACGCAUCUGUCUUUGCCUGCCCAGGCAUCAUCAUGCACUAGCUAGUCAUUCAGAUUAAUUUAUUGUUACUAACUUAUUGCCCCGCCCAGGCAUCUUCUAGCUAAACAAUGCUUUAUUCACCAUAAAAAAUUGUUGGAUCAUUAACCAAGAGAGGGAUCAGGCCAAACGUUCACAUCAACUCCAGCUCUCGUCAGCUACAGAAUAAACCUCCUAUUGGGAAAUGCACGAAGCUUGCUUUCCAUCAAGGUGCAUUCAUCAAAGAUUGUUGCUGCUGAACCAAAAGACCGUUCGCUGGUCAGCAUCACUUCAUUCACAUCGACACAGUCCGAAUCGGUUGCAUCCAAAUUGCUCUGCCAACCGAAGCCCGUGCAGAAGACCAAAGGCUUUAGCAGUUCAGCUGUCACCUAUUUUUAUCUACACAUGCAGGACGUAGCAGUUCAGGACCAGCCUUAAAACCCUUAAUCAUUUGGAACAUUUAGCGCGGUAGUUGGGCAAAUGAGCUGGCAUGCUUAGCCCCGGUACCAACAACCCCCUCAAUUCAUGCAUCGUUCUUCUUCUUGUUGUCUUGAAGCCAGCAUGGGCUUGAUGAGGCGUUGAUUAAACCCACCAGCCCUUCACUGUUGAUCCGUCCUUUGGCUACACACAUCAGCAGCUGCUGCUUGGUCGAUUUUACACUGACCACUAUAGUCUCAGAUCCACACAGAAACAGUUGGGAUCAAUGGAGGCGACAGUGUUGAGCGUGGGCAAGUCCGCGGUGAAGGGGGCGCUCGGCUACGCCCAGUCCGCCAUCGCGGCGGAGGUGGCGCUGCAGCUGGGGGUACAGCGCGACCAGGCCUUCAUCAGGGACGAGCUCGACAUGAUGCAGUCCUUCUUGAUGGUCGCGCACGGCGAGCAGGACGACGGCAAGGUGGUCGGGACCUGGGUGAAGCAGGUCCGUGACCUGGGCUACGACGUCGAGGACUGCCUCCAGGACCUGGCUGUCCGCCUCGAGAAGCCAUCCUGGUGGCGUUUCCUCAGGACACUGCUUGACCGGCGCCAUGUGGCUAAGCAGAUGAAGGACCUGCGGGAGAAGGUCGAGGAUGUCAGCCAGAGGAACUUGAGGUACCGCCUCAUCAGGAGCCCUGCCGCUGCUGCUGACUCCAAGCAUGUCACCACCGCCGCCGACCAAAACUUCGCAGGCAGCGCGACGAUGUUCGGCAUCGACGAGGCGAGGCGUGCCAUGAAGCGGGACAGGCCGAGAGUGGACCUUGCCCAACUUAUCAACAGGGAGGGCAAGGACCUUGGAGUCAUCGCCGUGUGGGGAACAUGUGGUGUUCUUGGGCAGGCGUCUGUGAUACAGAAGGUGUAUGAUGAUGCAGACAAGUUUGAAUGUCGUGCCUGGAUCAAGCUUACACAUCCUUUUGAUCCGAUCAUGUUCAUGCGGAACAUUAUGAGGCAGUUCUAUGGAUGUUCUUUUCCAGAACUGGCAGCUGGGGGUCAAAGCUGUCAAGAAAGAGCAACCACUGUAGGGGCUUAUGUUCUCAAAAAGAUGCUGACAAUAAAGCAAGAAGAUUUGGUUGACGAGUUCAACGAGCAUGUAAAUAGCAAGAGUUACCUGAUUGUUCUUAAUGACCUGUGUACCAUAGAAGAUUGGAACUGGAUCAAAACUU